GGACGAACGCUGGCGGCGUGCUUAACACAUGCAAGUCGAGCGGUAAGGCCCUUUCGGGGGUAUACGAGCGGCGAACGGGUGAGUAACACGUGGGCGACCUACCCUCAGCUUCGGGAUAAGCCUGGGAAACUGGGUCUAAUACCGGAUAUGACCUUCCCUCGCAUGGGGGUUGGUGGAAAGUUUUUUCGGCUGGGGAUGGGCCCGCGGCCUAUCAGCUUGUUGGUGGGUGAUGGCCUACCAAGGCGACGACGGGUAGCCGGCCUGAGAGGGCGACCGGCCACACUGGGACUGAGAUACGGCCCAGGACUCCUACGGGAGGCAGCAGUGGGGAAUAUUGCGCAAUGGGCGAAGCCUGACGCAGCGACGCCGC
rnacentral:rRNA from 1 species